GUGGGGAAUAUUGGACAAUGGGCGCAAGCCUGAUCCAGCCAUGCCGCGUGAGUGAUGAAGGCCUUAGGGUUGUAAAGCUCUUUCAGUGGGGACGAUAAUGACGGUACCCACAGAAGAAGCCCCGGCUAACUUCGUGCCAGCAGCCGCGGUAAUACGAAGGGGGCUAGCGUUGUUCGGAUUUACUGGGCGUAAAGCGCACGUAGGCGGAUCGUUAAGUCGGGGGUGAAAUCCUGGAGCUCAACUCCAGAACUGCCUAAGAUACUGGCGAUCUUGAGUCCGGAAGAGGUGAGUGGAACUCCUAGUGUAGAGGUGGAAUUCGUAGAUAUUAGGAAGAACACCAGUGGCGAAGGCGGCUCACUGGUCCGGUACUGACGCUGAGGUGCGAAAGCGUGGGGAGCAAACAGGAUUAGAAACCCGAGUAGUCC
rnacentral:rRNA from 1 species